GUAGAGCUAUGCGAAAUUUUGGAUACUCUGAUUCCGGCCGACCUCCACCGUUGACAAAGUCAGAGUUUUUGGAAUUCGGACGUGCUCCGACAAUUUUCUUAUUGUUGGAGUCGGAGUCGGAGUCGAAGGUAUUAGGGGCUCCGAACUCCUUCUUCGAACUCUGACUUUUUAUUUUAAGUUUUACUUCUACGUCUUUUAUUUUUUUUUUUCAAUAAAAAAUAACUAAACGACACCAUCCCGUUGCAAGUGGAAUAGCGUCGUUUUGCUCCUCUACGAUGUUUCCCUCCCCCCCUUUUCUGUCCCCCCUUAUUCCGCGAUUGCCCCUUUGGCCCUUUCUUUCUUCCAGUUCCAGAGGCCCUUCUCCUUGAGACUUGAGUCCCUCGUCGUCCAAAGCCCAGACCCACCAUUGACAACAUCCCUUCGUCGGUUCGUCCUGCCAUCUUCAACUCCAAACGGUAAAGGUUUAUGAUCACUUGGACGUUCCGACUUGAUGGAACUCAUCAUACAUGAUGUUAGAUGUGGCACAGAAGUACCAAAGAGUGAUCGAGCUGAUGGAGGUCAAGGAUGGGGGCUUUAAGUAUUCUUUGCUGGAGCCUACAAGAAAAAGGCUGGGUGCGCCGGACAAAUAUGAUUGGACUAGUGUGAGGCAUUUCGUCACAUUUGUGCAAAUUUUUUACGACAUCACUAUGCAGAUAUUUGGGACUGCGAACUUGUACUUCAACAAGCUCUCAGGGCUUCACUACCACUUUCAAGAAGGUUGUGAUGACCCUAGCGGACUGUGAUCUUGUAUAGUUAUGAGGAUGCAAACCAAAUAUGAUAAAUAUUGGGAGAUGUUGAGAAGAUAAAAUAGAUUACUUUUUGUGGCCGUGAUCCUUGACCUUCGAUAUAAGUUGGCUGUGAUAGAAUUUUGGGCAAAUUUCGUAAUGGGGGCAAUGAGGUCUGCACAGUUUAUUCAAGCGUUUAAAAGGGAUCUUGAUGACUUAUAUUCCCACUACAAUAAUAGUAAUCAGUCUUCAUUAGCAGCUGGUACCUCACACUUGAUCCUGACACCUCCCUCCGAUGACCUUUGCCCAGAUAGAGCAUUGCAUCCACGCUGUCGAGGUUACAACGUUAUGAACCUGUAUCAUCAACUUGUUGCAGCGAGGAAUAUUAUGCAGUGUACUUCUGAGGUUAAACGGUAUUUUGAGAAAGAGGUCGAGACAGCUAGUGAUGUAUUUCAAUUAUUAACUUGGUGGAAGGUUAAUUCCACCAAGUAUCCAUUUAUUUCCCGUAUUUUUCGAGAUAUACUAGCCAUUCUUAUCACUACAGUUACCUCUGAGUCGGCGUUUAGCAUUGGAGGUCGAGUGUUGGAUUCUUACCGGAGUUCAUUGUCACCAUCUACCGUGGGGGCCAUCGUUUGCACAUAGAAUUUAAUAAGUGAUAGCCCCUUGGACUAGAUACCAUUGGUAUUAAUGUUGAGAGUUAUAGAGUUGAAUUGAGUAACCCUAUUUUACUUAUUUUUUUAUUAUUAAAGUUUAUUCAAAUAAUUAUUUAAGUA